GGCAAAUCCAAUUCCUGUGGCGUUGCUUGAUUUUGCGUUACACUACCGAUCCCCAAUUGUCCGUAACAAUUACGUCCCCAGCCGCCCCCAACCGCUUGCUGCUUACCGCUUGUCUGUCGCUGAUCUCCGACGCGCUGGUGGGCAACAAGGCGACUAGCAACUUUGUACCUGUAACCUUUUGCACUUGGAAAUUGUGCCUACAUUUCGUAGCGGUCGCAUUGACAGUUACUCGACAGCAACGAACAAUGCAAGGCAGUAACAACAACAAUAACGGCAACAAGCGUUGGGCAGAAGAAUUGUUCGAAAUACACUAGUAACACGCUUUGAACACGAGACAACGACAAACAAACAAACUAUACAUACAUAUAUUUUAGUUCAGCGGUCGCCAAAUGUUUACCAAAUGGGAUAAAUGUUCUGAAAACUGUUGGAAAUCGAAAGAAAUUGUGCAAGACUGUCCCAACCUCCGAAUUUACAAUAUGGAAAAAUCAAACAGUACUGCAUAUUUGUCUCAUAUUUACAUACUCAUGAGCAUUGAUACAUAAGUUGAACAAUGAAGAAGAACGGUGCAUUUACACAAAACAACAAUAUUCCUGCAAACAAGUGAGCGGCGUGAGAGCAAUGCAUACAGUCGUCACAUAAUUUUCUCAUUGGAAUAUGGAAGAGUGCCGCUGCAAUUGACUUAUGAGCAGAUGUAAACAAAAGUGCGUGUGCAAAGAUCAAGUGAAAUCGAAAAGUAAUAGUGUAAAAAAUUAACAAAAAGCGCGAAUUAGAUCGUAGUUUAUUAAAAAUAAUGUUGGUUCCAAGUAAAUAAAAGAAAUUGUGAGAUAAAAACAUCAGAAUUAUUUGUGAGUGCAUAAAAUGUGGUUUGCUGAAUAAUUAAGCUUAUUGCUGCUGCUGCUGCCAUGCAUUCGGUUCAGAUCGUUUUGUGCAAUUUGCUCGUUUUUUGAACCGCUGGUACGUUUAUGUAAACAAGUCAGAAGUGAAAAUAAAAUCAUUGAGAAUUUUUAAACUAGUUAGAAGCGAGUGAUGUUUUUUGCUUUAGUUUAAUUUUUAAUUCAAUUAGUAAUUAUAGAAUUUAGUUAAAUGCUUUUGCGUUUGUGUUUUUUGUGUUGAUUCAUGUGUGUUUAAACGCGAUGGAUGAACGAAGUUGACUGAAAGGAAAACCAACUAGAAAUUAAUUCACUGCUGAG